rnacentral:rRNA from 1 species
AACUUUCAACAACGGAUCUCUUGGCUCUGGCAUCGAUGAAGAACGCAGCGAAAUGCGAUACGUAAUGUGAAUUGCAGAAGUUAGUGAAUCAUCGAAUCUUUGAACGCACAUUGCGCCCGCCAGUAUUCUGGCGGCAUGCCUGUUCGAGCGUCAUUUC